rnacentral:rRNA from 1 species
UACGUAGGGUGCGAGCGUUGCCCGGAUUUAUUGGGCGUAAAGGGCGCGCAGGCGGCCACGCACGUCCGUUGUGAAAUCGCCCCGGCUCAACUGGGGCGGGGGUCAGCGGAUACGGCGUGGCUGGAGCAAGCUAGGGGGGCAAUGGGAAUUCCCGGUGUAGUGGUGGAAUGCGUAGAUAUCGGGAGGAACACCAGUGGCGAAGGCGGUUGCCUGGAGCUUUGCUGACGCUGAGGCGCGAAAGCGUGGGGAGCGAUCCGG